UCGCGUCUUANCAUGCAAGUCGAACGAUGAACCACUUCGGUGGGGAUUAGUUGGCGAACGGGUUGAGUAACACGUUGGGCAAUCUGCCCUGCACUCUGGGACAAGCCCUGGAAACGGGGUCUAAUACCGGAUACUGACCCGCCUGGGCAUCCAGGCGGUUCGAAAGCUCCGGCGGUGCAGGAUGAGCCCGCGGCCUAUCAGCUUGUUGGUGAGGUAACGGCUCACCAAGGCGACGACGGGUAGCCGGCCUGAGAGGGCGACCGGCCACACUGGGACUGAGACACGGCCCAGACUCCUACGGGAGGCAGCAGA
rnacentral:rRNA from 1 species